AAGCAGAUCAUGUCUUGCUUCUUUUUCAUCCUCAUCGACAGCCCAAAGAAUGAAAAUAGAAGGAGGAAAAGAAUCUCUUAUUCACUAAAGAAAAUAUGCCUCCACUUUGACCGUCUGCUGUGUGUGAGUUUGCGACAAUCCCCUACUAUCCAACAAGAUUGUGUUUGUGUUUUAACAGGAGCUUCUCUCGCUAGAGCAGAAAGGACACAGCAUUGGCCGGGCAGCAUGUUUGUUUGUUUGCCCUGAGUCCUGGGGCAGCUAGUUAUCUUGGGCAGAGUUAGUUUUCGGGUCUGGAGCCAGGAAAACACACUCCUUAAUGCCCACAUAUUUGCAGUGCGACACAUAGCUUGGAAGCUUGUCACACCUAUUGCAACCGCUGCGUGACCUGUCUCCCAGGAAAGAUUGUCUCCAUGAGAUAUUCUUAGGGAUGAAUGCGGUGAGAAACGUGUACACCACUCGGGACAGCAGCCACAUAACUUCAGAGGUUCGUCCGCUCACAGGCCCCUGCGGUCUGGGCUGUGCCGGUGGUCUGCCUAGGAAACUGCCUUCAGUACGCAGGGGACUGUGAGUUGCCCAGUAGCUGCAUUUGAGAAUCAAAGCACCGAUUUCAGGCAGCGAUAGGCUGUUUGUCUGGAGACGGGCGUGGAGACUCUGCUUUCAUGUUCGCCUGCUGAAGGAAUAGAAGGCAGGAUGAACUCAGACUGAAUGGCUGGCUCUGAUAUGUGUUUGAAUGAAAACCAAAGUAAACACCACCAUUUCACCAAUGGCACACAGAUGGACUCCUGCUUGACGCCACGAGAGGAAAACUAAAAAUGAAAUCAGCCAGAAUAACUAUUUUUGUUAUUAGUUAUAAUGAUUUUAAAACAAGCAAUUCUAUUGUUUUAAAAGAGAGCAUCAAAAUAACAGGAAAAUUGGAAAGAAAGUAGCAAUGUUAUAUAAUGUCUGAAAAUAAGCUAAAAAGAAUGCACAUGAUUUCAGUGGAAGAAUAAAAGUCCAAGGAAAGGAUAUAACAAAACUUUUUGUAUGUGUCACAAGCUGCUCCCAUCACUACUGAAGACAAAAGAGGAGAAAGUAUUCACAUAUUGAACUCGUG
rnacentral:lncRNA from 10 species